UUUGUUUUGUUGCUUGAUGUAUAAGUUUUUAUUUUUCAGGCUUCAUCUUAUGUUAGGGAACUGGUCCUGGAAUCCCAUUCAGUCCGCUGUCGUCAGGGAGCCGCGAUCUUAGCAUGCAGAAACGGACGAGGAGAGUCUUGCCGGAAAGAUGCAGGAAAGUGCAAUUUGGGUGGCUGAUAUAUUUGGCCAAAAGUUAAACAUGCCAAUGGUGCGCUGGGCAGGUCUACUGGAAAGGGAAUGACUGCAAUGUUGGAGAUUGGCUGUUGACUCCAUAGUCUCAUAGGCAGCGGAGAGGGAAAAGAUAAGUGUAU